AUUGAACGCUGGCGGCAUGCCUUACACAUGCAAGUCGAACGGUAACGGGCCUUCGGGUGCCGCCGAGUGGCGAACGGGUGAGUAAUACAUCGGAACGUGCCCGAUCGUGGGGGAUAACGAGGCGAAAGCUUUGCUAAUACCGCAUACGAUCUACGGAUGAAAGCAGGGGACCGCAAGGCCUUGCGCGGACGGAGCGGCCGUUGGCAGAUUAGGUAGUUGGUGGGAUAAAAGCUUACCAAGCCGACGAUCUGUAGCUGGUCUGAGAGGAUGAUCAGCCACACUGGGACUGAGACACGGCCCAGACUCCUACGGGAGGCAGCAGUGGGGAAUUUUGGACAAUGGGCGCAAGCCUGAUCCAGCCAUGCCGCGUGCAGGAUGAAGGCCUUCGGGUUGUAAACUGCUUUUGUACGGAACGAAAAGCCUUCUUUUAAUACAGGAGGGUCAUGACGGUACCGUAAGAAUAAGCACCGGCUAACUACGUG
rnacentral:rRNA from 1 species